rnacentral:lncRNA from 1 species
CUCGAACUCACAAUCUCUCGGUUGGAAGUGGGAGUUGCUUACCAUCAGAGCAACCCGUCUUGUCUACACUAAAGAUACUUCUAACAAAAAUCAGCAUAAAAAAUAGUUUCUCAAGUACCUCAAUGGAACCCUCCACUUUCCCCAAGGUUAUAGAUUUGUCAAAUUUUGACGAGUAUGCAUGUGUAGUUGGUGAUAUUUGCUUCACCAGUUUAUCCAUAGUUAUAGAGGAUUUAACGUCUUUCAUAAUAGACAAAAUUCUGCAUAGAAGGCAUGAAAGAAAUCAGAACAGCAUCUUAUCGGUCACCGAAAACAGAAAGGAAUACAUGGACCAGACCUCGAGAAAAGCACAAAUACAGCAUCCUACCAUAUGCCAGUAGAAUAAAGAAAAAGCAGAACUAAAAACAGCAAAAAUUAUAUCAUGUUAAUUCAG